GUGAGCAACAAUUCAUGACAUUGCAUUGUUAGAAACAGUGUUAGCGAAAAUUAAAUUUAUAUCAUCAAACUUUCUUCCUGAAAACAUAACAUGCAAAAGGAGCAUUAGCUCCUUAUGUGAACUUCAUCACUAAUUCUGCUAGGAAGAGAACAGCUUUAAUGCGAUUGAGGUUACGCAGUACUCGUAAGAGUUGAAAGGAUCAGCUUUUUUGGAUCGAAUUUUCUGAGCAUCGCACUAGGUUACAAUUUUUGAAGAUUGGACAACUAUGUAAAAACCUUUUUAAUUGCAGAAUGCAAAUAUCAUGAAAGCGACCUCCGAAAGUCACUAGAGAAUUAAUCAAUAUGACCAAAGCACAGAAGAAGGUAAUCAAAUGGUGUUUGAAAGAGGUGUUUCAUGCCAUAUUUACAACUAGAACUCAAUUUUAGUUCAUUGCGCCAGUUUUAUACUCAGAAGGUUUUAUUUAUAGCACAAGGAAUAUUUCGCCUUAUUAUUUACA